UUAACUGUUGAUUCAACUGUUGUUUAAGUUACAAUCACAAGGGGUUUGGUAACAAGAAAUUGCUGACAAUAGUUGUCUUAUUUAUUACGUAUGAGAAU